GCGGGUGUGUUGUAGUGGCCGCAAACGACUUUUCCAAAGUUGUAGUGCGGGUUCGAUUCCCGCCACCCGCU
rnacentral:tRNA from 1 species